UCCGGCUUCAGUACCUGUAGCAAAAGGG
rnacentral:sRNA from 1 species